rnacentral:rRNA from 1 species
AUUGAACGCUGGCGGCAGGCCUAACACAUGCAAGUCGAGCGGAUGAAGGGAGCUUGCUCCUGGAUUCAGCGGCGGACGGGUGAGUAAUGCCUAGGAAUCUGCCUGGUAGUGGGGGAUAACGUCCGGAAACGGGCGCUAAUACCGCAUACGUCCUGAGGGAGAAAGUGGGGGAUCUUCGGACCUCACGCUAUCAGAUGAGCCUAGGUCGGAUUAGCUAGUUGGUGGGGUAAAGGCCUACCAAGGCGACGAUCCGUAACUGGUCUGAGAGGAUGAUCAGUCACACUGGAACUGAGACACGGUCCAGACUCCUACGGGAGGCAGCAGUGGGGAAUAUUGAACAAUGGGCGAAAGCCUGAUACAGCCAUGCCGCGUGUGUGAAGAAGGUCUUCGGAUUGUAAAGCACUUUAAGUUGGGAGGAAGGGCAGUAAGUUAAUACCUUGCUGUUUUGACGUUACCAACAGAAUAAGCACCGGCUAACUUCGUG